UACGUAGGGACCGAGCGUUGUCCGGAAUCAUUGGGCGUAAAGAGCGUGUAGGCGGCUUGUUAAGUCUUGCGUGAAAUCUCGGGGCUCAACCCCGAGCGGUCGUGAGAAACUGGCAGGCUAGAGUGCGGGAGAGGAGAGUGGAAUUCCUGGUGUAGCGGUGAAAUGCGCAGAUAUCAGGAAGAACACCCGUGGCUAAGGCGGCUCUCUAGUACGGUACUGACGCUGAGACGCGAAAGCGUGGGGAGCGAACAGG
rnacentral:rRNA from 1 species